ensembl:snRNA U6 U6 spliceosomal RNA
AUGCUCGCUUUGACAGCACAUAUACUAAAAAUUGGAACUCUAUAGAGAAGUUUACCAUGGCCCCUGUGCAAGGAUGACCCACAAAUUCAUGAAGCAUUCCACAUUUUU